rnacentral:rRNA from 1 species
GACGAACGCUGGCGGCGUGCUUAACACAUGCAAGUCGAACGAUGAAACCUAGCUUGCUAGGUCGAUUAGUGGCGAACGGGUGAGUAACACGUGACUAACCUGCCCCUUUCUCUGGGAUAACGCUCCGAAAGGAGUGCUAAUACCGGAUACUCACACCGAGGCACAUGCCUUGGUGUGGAAAGUUUUUCGGAAAGGGAUGGAGUCGCGGCCUAUCAGCUUGUUGGUGAGGUAACGGCUCACCAAGGCGACGACGGGUAGCCGGCCUGGGAGGGGGACCGGCCACACUGGGACUGAGACACGGCCCAGACUCCUACGGGAGGCAGCAGUGGGGAAUAUUGCACAAUGGGCGCAAGCCUGAUGCAGCGACGCCGCGUGAGGGAUGAAGGUCUUCGGAUUGUAAACCUCUUUCAGUAGGGACGAAGCGAAAGUGACGGUACCUAAAGAAGAAGCACCGGCUAACUACGUGCCAGCAGCCGCCGUAA